AUUGCUUCUCGGCCUUUUGGCUAAGAUCAAGUGUAGUACAUGUGAACACUAAUUGAAAGAAAGUAGGAGUAACUAUU
rnacentral:snRNA from 1 species